rnacentral:tRNA from 1 species
GCCCCCGUAGUCCAAUGGCAGAGACAGGCGACUUAAAAUCGUUCCAGUGUCGGUUCGAGUCCGACCGGGGGUACCA